rnacentral:rRNA from 1 species
UACGUACUGUGCGAACGUUAUUCGGAAUCACUGGGCUUAAAGGGUGCGUAGGCGGCCCUGUAAGUCAGUGCUGAAAUAUCCCGGCUUAACCGGGAGGGUGGCAUUGAUACUGCAGGGCUUGAGUGAAGUCGAGGUAGGCGGAAUUGACGGUGUAGCGGUGAAAUGCUUAGAUAUCGUCAAGAACACCGAUAGUGAAGACAGCUUACUAGGCUUAUACUGACGCUGAGGCACGAAAGUGUGGGGAUCAAACAGG